rnacentral:rRNA from 1 species
AUUGAACGCUGGCGGCAUGCCUUACACAUGCAAGUCGAACGGUAACGGGUCCUUCGGGAUGCCGACGAGUGGCGAACGGGUGAGUAAUAUAUCGGAACGUGCCCAGUAGUGGGGGAUAACUGCUCGAAAGAGCAGCUAAUACCGCAUACGACCUGAGGGUGAAAGGGGGGGAUCGCAAGACCUCUCGCUAUUGGAGCGGCCGAUGUCAGAUUAGCUAGUUGGUGGGGUAAAGGCCUACCAAGGCAACGAUCUGUAGUUGGUCUGAGAGGACGCGCAGCCACGCUGGGACUGAGGCACGGCCCAGACUCCUAGGGGAGGCAACAGUGGGGAAUUUUGGAGAAUGGGCGCAAGCCUGAUGCAGCAAUGCCGCGUGCAGAAAGAAGGCCUUCGGGUUGUAAACUGCUUUUGUCAGGGAAGAAAUCUUCUGGGCUAAUACCCCGGGAGGAUGACGGUACCUGAAGAAUAAGCACCGGCUAACUACGUGCCAGCAGCCGCCGUAA